AGAGUUUGAUCCUGGCUCAGAACGAACGCUGGCGGCAUGCCUAACACAUGCAAGUCGAACGCUUUUGGGGCUUCGGCCCCAAGGGAGUGGCGCACGGGUGAGUAGCGCGUGGGAACCUGCCCUGUUGUGGGGGAUAACCGAGGGAAACUUCGGCUAAUACCGCAUGCGCCCGAAGGUAACUUCGAGGAAAGAUUUUAUCGCAGCAGGAGGGGCCCGCGUCGGAUUAGCUGGUUGGUGGGGUAACGGCCUACCAAGGCACCGAUCCGUAGCUGGUCUGAGAGGAUGAUCAGCCACACUGGGACUGAGACACGGCCCAGACUCCUACGGGAGGCAGCAGUGGGGAAUAUUGGACAAUGGGCGCAAGCCUGAUCCAGCAAUGCCGCGUGAGUGAUGAAGGCCUUAGGGUUGUAAAGCUCUUUCGCCCGCGACGAUGAUGACGGUAGCGGGAGAAGAAGCCCCGGCUAACUUCGUGCCAGCAGCCGCGGUAAUACGAAGGGGGCGAGCGUUGUUCGGAUUUACUGGGCGUAAAGGGCGCGUAGGCGGCCUUCCAAGUCAGGCGUGAAAGCCCCGGGCUCAACCUGGGAGGUGCGCUUGGGACUGGCGGGCCGGAGUUCGGGAGAGGAGCGUGGAAUUCCCAGUGUAGAGGUGAAAUUCGUAGAUAUUGGGAAGAACACCGGUGGCGAAGCGGCGCUCUGGACCGAGACUGACGCUGAGGCGCGAAGGCGUGGGGAGCAAACAGGAUUAGAUACCCUAGUAGUCC
rnacentral:rRNA from 1 species